AGAGUCUGGGCAUCCGUCGGGCUGAUCUUGAGCGGCUCCACCUGGAUCUUCAACGUGGAAGACGAAGGUUUGCUGGGCUUCUCCUGGCGGCGAUCGUCGCUCCGCUUCCGCCUGGACAGGCAAGCGGCGAUGGACAAGAUGACCAGGAGCAAAAUGAAUCCAGCCACUCCGCCGGCGAUGGCGUAGA